rnacentral:lncRNA from 1 species
ACUUACCUGGCCAUAUAUGUCGACUCAGUUUUGAUUAAAGGUGGCUAACAAUUCGAGCUAACCCAUGCCACUAGGUUAGUCAUAAUUGUUAUGACUAUGUCAAGUCAAAUUUAAUGAGACCUAAAUCAAAUCUUUCUAAGAAAAUAUUAAGUCUAGGUCUUCCACCAUUAUAGAUGUGCGGGCCCUUCCCAGGGUUGAUUGUUCUCGACUGGUUACAGUGGCUCAGUUGCACCGGAAAGACGCAACCAUGUCCAUUAGGCAUUAGAUGCUACGAAUUAGAGGAUGGGUUGGGCUCAAUAUUUCAGAUAUGGUGAGGGACCCAAUCAAGAAUCUACUUUGUGCAAAUGGUGGGUCUGACUUAACUAAGGAUUGGAGUAAUAUUCUGGACACGGUAAACUUCAUGAAUUAGAGAUCAAGUUUUGGGUGUACCAUGAUUAGAGAAUCAUUGGACAAGAGUUGUCCACUCAUCGGUUGACUCAUCACUAAUAACUGUUAGGUG